UGUAAGUUUUAAUCCAGUCAGCCUCAAUGUUUUGCUAUUCCAUGCAAUUGAAUCAUCCUAUUCAUCAUUCUUAUAGUUGAAGUAACAAUUCAUCCGUUAUCUCACAGAGUCUGGCUCUAUUCUAUCUCAAUCUGCCAUAAAAAAAUGUACAAAUAUUUAAGAUGCGACUAUCUUUUUAAUAAAAUAGUUCAGCCUACUUGAUGAAAUAUUUCGCUAGUUUUGAACUUAUUUUGUUUUUAUUUUUCAUGUUGCAAGUAAACAAAAAAAUUUAAAUGCAAAUUUAUUUUUAAUAUGAACAUAUUUAAAUUGCAAUUGAAUGAUCUGGAGAAAUCGGCAAAAAUAGAGCUAGGAUUGAAUUUUAAGAAAUGUGUUGGAUGAAGCAUUCGGGAUAAAUUAAGUGUUUCAAAAUGAAAUUAUUCAUUUCAAUUGAACGAUUUGAACAAUUUUGAAUCAAUCUUUAUAGUUUUCUAUUUAGAUAUGCUAAACGCAUUAUGAGAAGGAAUAGAUAUGCUAAAAAAACUUGAGGAAAAUAUUGUUGUCUUGAAUAUAUUUUAUUUAAGAGUAAACUUGUUCAUAACAAACUGAGUGAAUAAGUUAUAAAAUUUUGUAUUUUUUUAACUUAUUAACGAUAGAAACAGUCGCCUUAAAAAUGAGCAGACGAUUUCAUAAGAAUAAAUUCGGCUUAAAAACUAUAGUUCAAAAAUUCUAACCGAAAUUGAUUUCGUAAGAUUCGCCACCAUAGCUUGAAUAGAUGCCGUAUUGGAAAGAUUAACGUAAUUUCUUGAAUCGUUUCCAAGUUUUCAGAAUUCCGUAGAAAUCUAUACUUUUGAUAUGCUGAUUGAGUACGGAAGAAGUGUUCGUAAUGUCUGGAUAUUUAGCAGAAGCGGCCUUUUAGCGGUGACAUUGCCACAAUUACAUAGGCGAUACUUGGUAUUGUCUGCUGCAACAGAGAGCAUCAUUACGACUUUUCUGUUUAGUAGUAGCUGGUACAAGCAAAAGGUGAAUUAGGCGAGUAAAUAUAACAAACUUGGAGUUACCUUAAACUUAAAAUGUUUCACUUAUACCGGAAGGUUUCUGUCGAAUUAUGUGAAUUUAUUGUCGAAUACAUUAGAUGCUAAUAAUAGGAACAAUGACACAUCCCUCAAUCUUAGUCUAUGGAAUGACUGCUGUUUCGGUUUGUCACAAAUUCUCUCUACUUGCAAUUGGACGAUUAGGAAACUUUCUCAGAAUGCUAUAGAAGAUAACGGUAAGUUAAACGAAUUUUGACAAUUAUCAUGCCAGAUUAUAGAAUAUAAGCAUUCAAUCUGAUAAUUAAAUUGCAACAUUACUAAUGUGCACAUUAAGUAUGCAUAGGUUAGAAAAUUGACGACCUAUAGUAAUGACCUUUUUGCUGAAUACCAAUCGCCAUGAAAAAGGGUUCCUUGGUCCCCCCCCCCAUGAACUGAACCGACAUCAAGUAUAUUGGAUGCUGAGAAAUACUCACUACAGAUGAUCAACAUAUUGAAAUACAAGUAUAGUAGGCUUCUUAAUUAUAAUACUAAAAUUUCAAAAAACGACAUUCUCUAAUCGUUCUAUUUUUCUAGAAAGCAGGUUCCCAUAAGCUAAUAAAGUUGCAAAUCACAAUUACCUGGAAACGUCUAUCAAAACGGAUGUAACAUUUCCAGCUACUUCUCAACGUAAAUAUCUGAAAUUUAAUCUCUUGCCAUUCUGAGAUCAACUUCUGCAAAUGCAAGAAUAAAAUAAAUGAAUCGCCUGAAAAUGGAGCCAGCAUGCAAAGGCCUUCUGAAUGUCUUCACCAGGAAAAUGUUGCCUACCUUGGAUGGAACCAUUUGAAGUGCUAAAAGAGGACAAGAAAUUUUUCCAGGUAUAUACAAAUUGGAACACAUGCUGUCUAUAUUAAACUUGUUUUUCUGAAUAAAGACGUACUAUCCACCCAUGAAGUAAUUAACUUUCGAGAUUCCACAUAUGUCCAAAAUUGACGGCAUUCUUGCUGAAUGUGAUGGAAUACUCACUAAAAUGACCCAUUUUGGCAACGCAUGUAUAUAGAAGCAAACCAUUACUACUUGAAACUAUCUAUCAAAACAGAAGCAGAAUUUACAAUUAUUUAUCAACGUAAUAAGACUUGGUUAGUGUUACUGAUAUCCUUCAGAAUAAUUGAGGUUGGAUUAGAUUUUGAUGCAUAGUAACCUUUUGUUCAAUAAAGGGUCCCCAUUUACACUAAAAGUGAGAUUGCUGUCUCCGUUACCACACUUAUUAUGAACCGACAUCUAUUGCGAUGUAUGUUGUGAAAUGCUCACUGCAGAUGACAUUGAAAUGUUGGAAAAUCAAGUAUCCUUUCGUUUCUUAUUUAUAAUAUUGAAAUCACAAAAAUGACAUUCUCUAACCAUUUUAUUUGAUUUUCCAGAAAACAUUGAACUGCAAGGAGGCAAACCAUAAUUACUCGUCAACAUCUAUUAAAACGGAUGCAUAAUUUCUAGCUAUUUCUGAAAAUAGAAAAGCAGAGGAACUGAAGCGCGUGCCAUCCCGAGAUCAUCUUUCGUGAGUAGAGGGACCGAACAAAUCAAUCGCCAGAGCAUGGAAUCAACAUGCGACAGCCUUUUGCAUGUCUCCUCGUCACAAGUAAAAUGUUGCCAGGCCAGAAACCUUUUUAAUGUGCAGAAAUAGAACAAGAAAUAUUUCCAGCGACUACUUCAGUUUCUGACAAAUUCUCUACCAGCAAUCUGGGUGAUCGAGAAAUUUAUUUUCUCGGAAUGGUAUCGUAGAGAUAACGAAAGCAAGUUUUCUGAAGCCAUGCGGAGGCAAACUACAUAUAAUUUAUGUGGAAGCUUCUAUUAAGACAGAAGCGGGCUUUCCAGCUAUUUCUCAACAGAAGAAAGUUACCUGAAUGAUUCUGAAGCGAUAUCGGCAUGUUGCAAGAAUUUCGGUUUAUCACUUAUCACCAGAAGAUACUGCUUUCUUGGCUCCACACAUGCUCUGAUCUGACAUCAACUAAGCUGGAUGCUAUGAAAUACUCACUACUGAUGACAAGGCAAAUUUCCAGUAAGCUGCAAGGAGACAAACCACAAUCAUCUGUAAAUAUCCAGCAAAACAGAAGCAGCAUAUCCAGUUAUUUCUCAAUAUGGGAAUCGUCGAAUUUGAAACGCUUGCCAUUCCGAGAUCAACUUCUGCAACUAUAGUGUCUGUAGAAAUCGGUCUAUUGAGAAUGAAUCUACCAUGUGACAGCCUUCUGCAAGUCCUCCUCACCACUAAAAUGUUGCUCUGCUAUAAGCCGCUUCACGUACAGUAACAGAACGUGAAAUGUUGGGUGUCUGUUAAGAAUACGCCUUCGUCGAUGUGAUCCUGGAAUAAGACAAUACCUGGACCCUUCAUCAAGCGCAUAUUGGAGUGCGGAUGCUGCACAGUUCAAUUACGGACGAAGACUAUAUUUGAAUUUUUAUAUUAUCAAUAUGUUCAGAAGCAAAUUUCAAACGGAACUAAUUGACUCAAUGGAAGAAACGGAUAUUAUAAAAACAGCGGUAUAACAAAUUUGUAACAAAACCUAGAUUUAAUUUUCGCAAAUAAUAAUAUAAAUUGCAUUUGAGAACAUAUUUGUUAUUACUAAAUUUGAUAAGAAUUGUUUGACAUGACAGAUUGCCACUAUACAACUUUAAAAAUCUUGGAUUUUCAUUACUGUAAUCUUUCUAUUAUAUCGGCAGAAUUUCUUUCCAUUUACAAACCAAUUUUAUAAAGAAAACUGAACCACUUCGUUGUAACUGAAGCCAUUUCUUGACCUUGUUUAUUUCUAAAUCUUCAUUUUGUGAUUUUGAAUGACGAUUAUAAAAGAAUCCUUCAUAUUCGAAUAGGUGUUUCAUUCCUGUAUCUAUAACGAAAUUUGGAUUUUGAUCUCUGUAAUGCUAGUAUCAAUUAUGUAAAUGAAUUUCAUUAAAUUUCCCUUAGUUAUCAAUCUCGAAAUCUCGAUAAUCAGAGCUUCAAUCUACAAGUUUAUUAAUAUGUGGCGUUUAAUAUGUACUUGUGUUUGAUUAAUGUAUGGAAUAUUCCUUAAAGGAAAA